CCUACGGGUGGCUGCAGUGAGGAAUAUUGGUCAAUGGACGCAAUCCUGAACCAGCCAAGCCGCGUGCAGGAAGACGGCCCUAUGAGUUGUAAACUUCUUUUGUAGGAGGCUAAAAGCAGAGACGUGUCCCUGUCUGAGUGUAUCGUAAGAAUAAGCAUCGGCUAACUCCGUGCCAGCAGCCGCGGUAAUACGGAGGAUUCAAGCGUUAUCCGGAUUUAUUGGGUUUAAAGGGUGCGUAGGCGGUCGGUUAAGUUAGGGGUGAAAUUGCGGGGCUCAACGUCGGAAGUGCCUUUGAUACUGGCAGGCUAGAGUGUAGUUGAGGUAGGCGGAAUGCGUGGUGUAGCGGUGAAAUGCUUAGAGAUCAUGCAGAACUCCGAUUGCGAAGGCAGCGUACC
rnacentral:rRNA from 1 species